rnacentral:tRNA from 1 species
UCCCUGAUAGUCUGGUGGAUAAGACACUGCACUUCCACUGCAGGGGAGUAGGGUUCUAUCCCUGGUCAGGGAA